UAGAGUCUGCGAUUGUAAAGUUAGUGGGCGGACGGGUGAGUAACGCGUGGUAACCUGCCAUAUACAGGGGGAUAACACUUAGAAAUAGGUGCUAAUACCGCAUAAGCGCACGGUAUCGCAUGAUACAGUGUGAAAAACCCCGGUGGUAUAUGAUGGACCCGCGUCUGAUUAGCUAGUUGGUGAGGUAACGGCCCACCAAGGCGACGAUCAGUAGCCGGUCUGAGAGGAUGAACGGCCACAUUGGGACUGAGAUACGGCCCAGACUCCUACGGGAGGCAGCAGUGGGGAAUAUUGGGCAAUGGGCGCAAGCCUGACCCAGCAACGCCGCGUGAAGGAAGAAGGCUUUCGGGUUGUAAACUUCUUUUGUCGAGGAAGAGUAGAAGACUGUACUCGGCGAAUAAGCCACGGCUAACUACGUG
rnacentral:rRNA from 1 species